CUCUGUGACUCCUACGGGAGGCAGCAUGGGGGAAUAUUGCACAAUGGGCGCAAGCCUGAUGCAGCAACGCCGUGUGAGUGAAGAAGGUUUUCGGAUCGUAAAACUCUGUCCUAAGGGAAGAAACAAAUGACGGUACCUUAGGAGGAAGCCCCGGCUAACUACGUGCCAGCAGCCGCGGUAAUACGUAGGGGGCAAGCGUUAUCCGGAAUCACUGGGCGUAAAGGGUGCGUAGGCGGCUUAGCAAGCCAGGGGUGAAAGGCAUUGGCUCAACCAAUGUAAGCCUUUGGAACUGUUAAGCUUGAGUGCAGGAGAGGUAAGUGGAAUUCCUAGUGUAGAGGUGAAAUUCGUAGAUAUUAGGAGGAACACCAGUGGCGAAGGCGACUUACUGGACUGUAACUGACGCUGAUGCACGAAAGCGUGGGUAGCGAACAGGAUUAGAUACCCUGGUAG
rnacentral:rRNA from 1 species